UACGGAGGAUCCGAGCGUUAUCCGGAUUUAUUGGGUUUAAAGGGUGCGCAGGCGGGAUGUUAAGUCGGCGGUGAAAUUUUGCAGCUCAACUGUAAAAGUGCCUUCGAUACUGGCUUUCUUGAGUGUGGAUGAAGUAGGCGGAAUUUGUGGUGUAGCGGUGAAAUGCUUAGAUAUCACGAGGAACUCCGAUUGCGCAGGCAGCUUACUAAACCACUACUGACGCUCAUGCACGAAGGCGUGGGGAUCAAACAGGAUUAGAUA
rnacentral:rRNA from 1 species